AUGUGUGGUUUACUAUGUGGGGGCGAAGAGCUACUGGAAAUUUGUCUCUCUCGUUUUCUCUUUAGAUGUUUAGCCUUCCUCUGUUUUUGUGCUCUGUCUCUCAACAGGUUAUCUGCAUUUAGUCUUUUCCAUCAUUCACUUUAUAUGUGUAUUCUUUCAGACAGUAUUUCUCUGUGUUCUUACUUACAAUGUUUCUCCUCCACUCGCUCUUGUUCUCCAUCUGUCCUAAUACAAUCUCUCCCUCUCGCAACCUCUCUCACCCCUCACCCUGUCACUCACCCCUCACCCUGUCUCUCACCCCUCACCCUGUCACUCACCCCUCAAACUGUCACUCACCCCUCACCCUGUCUCUCACCCUCACCCUGUCUCUCACCCCUCACCCUGUCACCACCCUGUCUCUCACCCUCACCCUGUCACCACCCUGUCUCUCACCCCUCGCCCUGUCUCUCACCCUCAACCCUGUCACUCCCCCCUCACCCUGUCACUCACCCCUCACCCUGUCACUCACCCCUCACCCUGUCUCUCACCCCUCACCCUGUCUCUUUACCCCUCACCCUGUCUCUCACCCCCAACCCUGUCUCUCACCCCUCACCCCUCACCCUGUCUCUCACCCCUCACCCUGUCACUCACCCCUCACCCUGUCUCUCACCCCUCACCCUGUCUCUCACCCCUCACCCUGUCACUCACCCCUCACCCUGUCUCUCACCCCUCACCCUGUCUCUCACCCCUCACCCUGUCUCUCACCCCUCACCCUGUCUCUCACCCCCAACCCCGUCUCUCACCCCUCACCCUGUCUCUCACUCCUCACCGUGUCACCACCCUGUCACUCACCCCUCACCCUGUCUCUCACCCCUCACCCUGUCUCUCACCCCUCACCCUGUCACUCACCCCUCACCCUGUCUCGCCCCUCACCCUGUCGCCACCCUGUCUCUCACCCCUCACCCUGUCGCUCACCCCUCACCCUCUCUCACCCCUCACCCUGUCACUCACCCCCAACCCUGUCACUCACCCCUCACCCUGUCACUCACCCCUCACCCUCUCUCACCCCACACCCUGUCACCACCCUGUCUCUCACCCCUCACCCUGUCUCUCACCCCUCACCCUGUCUCUUACCCCCAACCCUGUCUCUCACCCCUUACCCUGUCUCUCACCCCUCACCCUGUCACUCACCCCUCACCCUGUCUCUCACCCCGCACCCUGUCACUCACCCCUCACCCUGUCACUCACCCCUCACCCUGUCUCUCACCCCUCACCCUGUCUCUCACCCCUCACCCUGUCACUCACCCUUCACCCUGUCUCUCACCCCUCACCUUGUCUCUCACCCCAACCCUGUCUCUCACCCCUCACCCUGUCUCUCACUCCUCACCGUGUCACCACCCUCUCUCACCCCUCACCCUGUCAUUCACCCCUCACCCUGUCUCUCACCCCUCACCCUGUCUCUCAUCCCCAACCCUGUCUCUCACCCCUCACCCUGUCUCUCACUCCUCACCGUGUCACCACCCUCUCUCACCCCUCACCCUGUCACUCACCCCUCACCCUGUCUCUCACCCCUCACGCCUCACCCUGUCUCUCACCCCUCACCCUGUCUCUCACCCCCAACCCUGUCUCUCACCCCUCACCCUGUCACUCACCCCUCACCCUGUCUCUCACCCCUCACCCUGUCUCUCACCCCUCACUCUGUCUCUCACCCCUCACCCUGUCUCUCACCCCUCACCCUGUCACUCACCCCUCACCCUGUCUCUCACCCCUCACCCUGUCUCUCACCCCUCACCCUGUCACUCACCCCUCACCCUGUCUCUCACCCCUCACCCUGUCUCUCACCCCAACCCUGUCUCUCACCCCUCACCCUGUCUCUCACUCCUCACCGUGUCACCACCCUGUCACUCACCCCUCACCCUGUCACUCACCCAUCACCCUGUCUCUCACCCCUCAACCUGUCACUCACCCCUCACCCUGUCACUCACCCCUCAACCUGUCACUCACCCCUCAACCUGUCACUCACCCCUCACCCUGUCACUCACUCCUCACCCUGUCACUCACCCCUCACCCCUCAACCUGUCUUUCACCCCUCAACCUGUCACUCACCCCUAA
ensembl:lncRNA